AAAGAAAUAUUUAAAAGAAGCUUCUAACUUCUUAGAGAGCAUAAUUUUGUUCAU
rnacentral:tRNA from 1 species